rnacentral:lncRNA from 1 species
CAGUCAAUUGAUUGCAUGCUAAUUUUUUUGCAUUGAUAGGUCGAAAUUGAUUCUUAGCCUCGGUCUCAAACUCCUCCUAGUCACAAAAUCCGCUGUCGUAUUAUAUGGCAUUUGGCUUGAAAAUGCAUCAGACACUUGGCUCUAAAAAAUAAAAGAAAAUUGAAACAACAAUCCCUAAAAACUUUAAUAGAUUCUUAUACAAAUUACAAUUAAACAUUAGUAAUUAUAAUCAAAUAUCAAUCAAAUUCAAUCAAAAUUUUAAAAGAAUUAUGUAAGAAAUACAAUGUAUUCCUAGAGAUCCUUUAAAGAAUCAUAAAGAAAGAACAUAGAAAUUCAAAAAAAUAUACUAAAAUAGAAAUUUUAAUAAAAAAUUAAAAUAAAAAUCUUAAUUAAAUCCUAGUCAAAAUCUAAUCAAAUUCUAGUCAAAUUCUAGUCAAAUCCUAAUCAAAUCCUAAAUAAAAUCUAAUCAAAUUCUAACAAACUCUAACCAAAUUCUAAUCAAAUUCUAAACAAACCUUAACCAAAUCUUAAGCAAAUCCUAAAAAAUCCUAAAUAAAAUCUAAUCAAAUUCUAACAAACUCUAACCAAAUUCUAAUCAAAUUCUAAACAAACCUUAACCAAAUCUUAACCAAAUCCUAACAAAUCCUAAAUAAAUCCUAAUCAAAUCCUAAUCAAAAUCUAAACAAACUCUAAAUAAAUCCUAAUCAAAUCCUAAAUAAAUCCUAACCAAAUCCUAACAAAUCCUAAAUAAAUCCUAAUCAAAUCUUAAUCAAAAUCUAAACAAACUUUAAAUAAAUCUUAAUAAAAUCCUAAAAAAAUCCUAACCAAAUCCUAAUCAAAUUCUAGACAAACCUUAACCAAAUCCUACUCAAACUCUAAACAAACCUUAACCAAAUCCUAAUCAAAUCCUAGACAAAUCUUAACCAAAUUCUAAUUAAAUCCAAAACAAAUCUUAACCAAAUCUUAAUCAAAUCUUAAAUAAAUUCUAAAAAAAUCAUAACCAAAUCUUAAUCAAAUCCUAAAAAAAUCCUAAAAAAAUCCUAAAAAAAUCCUAAUCAAAUCCUAAACAAAUCUUAACUUAAUUCUAAAUAAAUCCUAAAAAAAUCCUAACCAAAUUUUAAAUAAAUCUUAACCGAAUCCUAACCAAAUCCUAACCAAAUCCUAAUCAAAUCCUAAAAAAA